CACGUAGUUAGCCGGUGCUUCUUCUGCAGGUACCGUCACUUGCGCUUCUUCCCUGCUGAAAGAGGUUUACAACCCGAAGGCCUUCAUCCCUCACGCGGCGUCGCUGCGUCAGGCUUCCGCCCAUUGCGCAAUAUUCCCCACUGCUGCCUCUCGUAGGAGUCUGGGCCGUGUCUCAGUCCCAGUGUGGCCGGUCACCCUCUCAGGCCGGCUACCCGUCGUCGCCUUGGUAGGCCAUCACCCCACCAACAAGCUGAUAGGCCGCGAGCCCAUCCCCGACCGAAAAACUUUCCACACCACCCCAUGCGAGGCGAUGUCAUAUCCGGUAUUAAUCCCGGUUUCCCGAGGCUAUCCCAGAGUCAGGGCAGGUUGCUCACGUGUUACUCACCCGUUCGCCGCUGAUCCCCCGAAGGGUUCACCGCUCGACUUGCAUGUGUUAAGCACGCCGCCAGCGUUCGUCCUGAGCCGAGGAUACAAACUCU
rnacentral:rRNA from 1 species